GAUGAACGCUGGCGGCGUGCCUAAUACAUGCAAGUCGAGCGAACAGACGAGGAGCUUGCUCCUCUGACGUUAGCGGCGGACGGGUGAGUAACACGUGGUUAACCUACCUAUAAGACUGGGAUAACUUCGGGAAACCGGAGCUAAUACCGGAUAAUAUAUUGCACCACAUGGUUCAAUAGUGAAAGACGGUGUUGCUGUCACUUAUAGAUGGAUCCGCGCCGCAUUAGCUAGUUGGUAAGGUAACGGCUUACCAAGGCAACGAUGCGUAGCCGACCUGAGAGGGUGAACGGCCACACUGGAACUGAGACACGGUCCAGACUCCGACGGGAGGCAGCAGUAGGGAAUCCUCCGCGAUGGGGGAAAGCCUGACGGAGCAACGCCGCGUGAGUGAUGAAGGUCUUCGGAUCGUAAAACGAUGUUAUUAGGGAAGAACAAAUGUGUAAGUAACUAUGCACGUCUUGACGGUACCUAAUCAGAAAGCCACGGCUAACUACGUG
rnacentral:rRNA from 1 species